AAAAAAAUCUAAGUGGAAAGCAAGAAAUGCCAGCAAGACAAAAAUCAUUAUUAUAAAAAGCAAAGCCCAAAUGCUGAUGCACUAAAGUUCUAUACCAUCAAACCUUUAAAGAAGAAAAAAAUGCAGGAGAGAAAAUGACUGGAAGAAAAGUGGUUAUGCCAAUUUUAUUUUUCUGCUAGGUUUUGCUAUCUUGUCUCUCACACAGAGAUUUUAAAUAUUGUGAGUUGGAAGAGACCCACGAGGAUCAUCGAAGUCCAAAGUCCUGGCUUGAACACCUCUCGAGCUCUGUCAGGCUGGUGCUGUGACCACUUCCCUGGGGAGCCUGUUCCAGUACCCAACCACCUGCUGGGUGAAGAACCUUGUUGUAAUAUCCAACCUAAACCUCCCUGACACAACUUCAGGCCAUUCCCUCAGGUCCUGUCACUGGGCACCACAGAGAAGAGAUCGGUACCUGCCCCUCCUUUUCCCCUCACAAGGAAGUUGUAACUGCAGUGGUCUCCCCUCAGUCACCUCCAGGCUGAACAGACCAAGUGACCUCAGCCACUCCUCAUAUGGCCUCUCCUCAAAGCCCUUCACCAACCUCCUCUGCUUGGCCCUGGAGUCUCUCUAAGAGCUUCAUGCCUUUCCUGUAUGGUGGUGUCCAGAGCUGCCCCCAGCACUCAAGCAUGGAUUUCCUCACCGCAGCACCUGUUUUUGUGUUCUGGAGACACUGAGAAAGGCACCUGAUUCUUCCCAGACUGGAGCAAAUUGAGUUCCCUGCAAGAAUUGGCCCAGUCUCUCCAUACAUCCAAGGUUGCCUCAUCCCAGUGUUCAGGCCUAUGACAUCUGGGAUUGAUCCUGUUCUUAGCAAAGUCAAUGGCAAAAUUUCCAUGAGCUCCAUUUCCUGGUCCUAACUUCGCCAUAUCCAAGUGCAAGCACCCAAAAGCCCUCCUGUGCUGCAUGACUGUGUAGGUGCACCCAAAAAUGUCCAUGUAUGAUGUCCCUCAUGAUCCAUGAGAGUUAACCGGUUAACCUCUUAACGGGCUGGGUUAAGCCAGGCUAGUGUACACAACAUCCCUGGUGAACUCUGCUCAAGAUUAGAGAAAAGCAACAAUCUGAGCUUUGGUCGUGGGGAUGGAUGCACCUCGUAAGUCACAGUUAAACAAAUGGAAGCAAGAAGGAUUUUUCAGACCCAUAGCUUUGGUUUUCCAUACCGCCUAUGCUUGCUUUUUUCCCUGAUAAUAACUUUUGCUAUAGAUUCUGUCUGCUUAAAGUUUGGAUUAUCAUGUCAUUUGUUGAUCUGAGGGUACUCAGCCGAUCCUGUAAGUUUGGUUAUUGCUUGAUCUGUUCAAAAGAACACCACUUUUCCUUUACUUGCAAAUAUUAUCAUUGUCAAAUAUUAAAUGAUUUGCUGAACCAUUGUGUAACAACAUGUCUUAACAUGUUUGUUAGUGGAUAUAUUUAGCUGGCAUGGAUAUUGUAUUU